rnacentral:rRNA from 1 species
UCUCAAGCGUGAGGUAAGGGCAUUUGGUGGAUGCCUUGGCAUGCACAGGCGAUGAAGGACGUGGCACGCUGCGAUAAGCUGCGGUGAGGUGUGAGCAACCUUUGACCCGCAGAUUUCCGAAUGGGGAAACCCAUCCUCACCAAUUAAUUUCUAUCCAGAGCGAUCUGGGUUGGAGUUAAUUGGGAAGGAUAUCACCGAAGUGAAUACAUAGCUUUGGUGAAGCGAACCCGGCGAACUGAAACAUCUCAGUAGCUGGAGGAAAAGACAUCAACCGAGAUUCCGUUAGUAGUGGCGAGCGAACGCGGACCAGGCCAGUGCCUGAUGGUGAAUUAGCAGAACAGUCUGGAAAGUCUGGCCAUAGCGGGUGACAGCCCCGUAUGCGAAAAUGAAACAUCAGGACUUGAGUAGGGCGGGACACGUGUAAUCCUGUCUGAACAUAGGGGGACCACCCUCUAAGCCUAAAUACUCGUGCAUGACCGAUAGUGAACAAGUACCGUGAGGGAAAGGUGAAAAGCACCCCGAUGAGGGGAGUGAAACAGUACCUGAAACCGAAUGCCUACAAGCAGUUGGAGGGUCUUUAUGGCCUGACAGCGUACCUCUUGCAUAAUGGGUCUGUGACUUAAUGUAUCGAGCAAGCUUAAGCCGUUAGGUGUAGGCGCAGCGAAAGCGAGUCUGAAUAGGGCGAUUUAGUUCGAUGCAUUAGACCCGAAACCCGGCGAUCUAGGCAUGACCAGGAUGAAGGUGGGGUAACACCCACUGGAGGUCCGAACCGAUUAACGUUGAAAAGUUACCGGAUGAGUUGUGUUUAGGGGUGAAAGGCCAAUCAAGCCGGGAAAUAGCUGGUUCUCCGCGAAAACUAUUGAGGUAGUGCCUCGGAUGAACACCGUUGGGGGUAGAGCACUGGAUGGAUGCGGGGGUCGCGAGAUCUACCAAAUUCAACCAAACUCCGAAUACCAACGAGUGAUAUCCGGGAGACAGACGGCGGGUGCUAAGGUCCGUCGUCAAGAGGGAAACAGCCCUGACCUACAGCUAAGGUCCCCAAGUCGUGUCUAAGUGGGAAAGCAUGUGGGAAUCCCAAAACAACCAGGAGGUUGGCUUAGAAGCAGCCAUCCUUUAAAGAAAGCGUAACAGCUCACUGGUCUAAAU